rnacentral:rRNA from 1 species
GGGGGGGGCAAGCGUUGUUCGGAAUUACUGGGCGUAAAGGGCUCGUAGGUGGCCAACUAAGUCAGACGUGAAAUCCCUCGGCUUAACCGGGGAACUGCGUCUGAUACUGGAUGGCUUGAGAUUGGGAGAGGGAUGCGGAAUUCCAGGUGUAGCGGUGAAAUGCGUAGAUAUCUGGAGGAACACCGGUGGCGAAGGCGGCAUCCUGGACCAACACUGACACUGAGGAGCGAAAGCCAGGGGAGCAAACGGGAUUAGAUACCCCGGUAGUCCUGGCCCUAAACGAUGAAUGCUUGGUGUGGCGGGUAUCGAUCCCUGCCGUGCCGAAGCUAACGCAUUAAGCAUUCCGCCUGGGGAGUACGGUCGCAAGGCUG